CAGGUAGGGAUACCCGCUGAACUUAAGCAUAUCAAUAAGCGGAGGAAAAGAAACCAACAGGGAUUACCUCAGU
rnacentral:rRNA from 1 species